rnacentral:rRNA from 1 species
GGAAAGGCGAAAAGAACCCCGGCGAGGGGAGUGAAAAAGAACCUGAAACCGUGUACGUACAAGCAGUGGGAGCACCCUUUGGGGUGUGACUGCGUACCUUUUGUAUAAUGGGUCAGCGACUUAUAUUCUGUAGCAAGGUUAACCGAAUAGGGGAGCCGGAGGGAAACCGAGUCUUAAUUGGGCGUUAAGUUGCAGGGUAUAGACCCGAAACCCGGUGAUCUAGCCAUGGGCAGGUUGAAGGUUGGGUAACACUAACUGGAGGACCGAACCGACUAAUGUUGAAAAAUUAGCGGAUGACCUGUGGCUGGGGGUGAAAGGCCAAUCAAACCGGGAGAUAGCUGGUUCUCCCCGAAAGCUAUUUAGGUAGCGCCUCGUGAAUUCAUCUCCGGGGGUAGAGCACUGUUUCGGCUAGGGGGCCAUCCCGGCUUACCAACCCGAUGCAAACUGCGAAUACCGGAGAAUGUUAUCACGGGAGACACACGGCGGGUGCUAACGUCCGUCGUGAAGAGGGAAACAACCCAGACCGCCAGCUAAGGUCCCAAAGUCAUGGUUAAGUGGGAAACGAUGUGGGAAGGCCCAGACAGCCAGGAUGUUGGCUUAGAAGCAGCCAUCAUUUAAAGAAAGCGUAAUAGCUCACUGGUCGAGUCGGCCUGCGCGGAAGAUGUAACGGGGCUAAACCAUGCACCGAAGCUGCGGCAGCGACACUCAGGUGUUGUUGGGUAGGGGAGCGUUCUGUAAGCCUGCGAAGGUGGCCUGUGAGGGUUGCUGGAGGUAUCAGAAGUGCGAAUGCUGACAUAAGUAACGAUAAAGCGGGUGAAAAGCCCGCUCGCCGGAAGACCAAGGGUUCCUGUCCAACGUUAAUCGGGGCAGGGUGAGUCGACCCCUAAGGCGAGGCCGAAAGGCGUAGUCGAUGGGAAACGGGUUAAUAUUCCCGUACUUGGUGUUACUGCGAAGGGGGGACGGAGAAGGCUAUGUUGGCCGGGCGACGGUUGUCCCGGUUUAAGCGUGUAGGUGUGUGUUCCAGGUAAAUCCGGUU